rnacentral:sRNA from 1 species
UACGGUUAUGGCUCUCGUCUUCGUCGUCGCUUGAGGAGUCGUCGUAACU